rnacentral:rRNA from 1 species
UCCUACGGGAGGCAGCAGUGAGGAAUAUUGGUCAAUGGACGGGAGUCUGAACCAGCCAAGUAGCGUGCAGGACGACGGCCCUAUGGGUUGUAAACUGCUUUUAUAGGGGGAUAAAGUGUGCCACGUGUGGCAUAUUGCAGGUACCCUAUGAAUAAGGACCGGCUAAUUCCGUGCCAGCAGCCGCGGUAAUACGGAAGGUC